GAAUGCUGACAUAAGUAACGAUAAAGCGGGUGAAAAGCCCGCUCGCCGGAAGACCAAGGGUUCCUGUCCAACGUUAAUCGGGGCAGGGUGAGUCGACCCCUAAGGCGAGGCCGAAAGGCGUAGUCGAUGGGAAACGGGUUAAUAUUCCCGUACUUGGUGUUACUGCGAAGGGGGGACGGAGAAGGCUAUGUUGGCCGGGCGACGGUUGUCCCGGUUUAAGCGUGUAGGUGU
rnacentral:rRNA from 1 species